rnacentral:rRNA from 1 species
UACAGAGGUCUCAAGCGUUGUUCGGAUUCAUUGGGCGUAAAGGGUGUGUAGGUGGCGCCGUAAGUCGGGUGUGAAAUUUCGGAGCUUAACUCCGAAACUGCAUUCGAUACUGCGGUGCUUGAGGACUGGAGAGGAGACUGGAAUUUACGGUGUAGCAGUGAAAUGCGUAGAUAUCGUAAGGAAGACCAGCGGCGAAGGCGGGUCUCUGGACAGUUCCUGACACUGAGACACGAAGGCCAGGGGAGCAAACGGG